UACGAACGCUGGCGGCAGGCUUAACACAUGCAAGUCGAACGGGUGUAGCAAUACACCAGUGGCAGACGGGUGAGUAACACGUGGGAACCUUCCUAGGGGUACGGAACAACUCAGGGAAACUUGAGCUAAUACCGUAUACGUCCGUGAGGAGAAAGAUUUAUCGCCCUUAGACGGGCCCGCGUCGGAUUAGCUAGUUGGUGGGGUAACGGCCUACCAAGGCGACGAUCCGUAGCUGAUCUUAGAGGAUGAUCAGCCACACUGGGACUGAGACACGGCCCAGACUCCUACGGGAGGCAGCAGUGGGGGAUAUUGGACAAUGGGGGCAACCCUGAUCCAGCCAUGCCGCGUGAGUGAUGAAGGCCUUAGGGUUGUAAAGCUCUUUCACCGGUGAAGAUAAUGACGGUAACCGGAGAAGAAGCCCCGGCUAACUUCGUGCCAGCCGCCGCAGUAAGAC
rnacentral:rRNA from 1 species